GAUGAACGCUGGCGGCGUGCCUAAUACAUGCAAGUCGAGCGAACGGACGAGAAGCUUGCUUCUCUGAUGUUAGCGGCGGACGGGUGAGUAACACGUGGAUAACCUACCUAUAAGACUGGGAUAACUUCGGGAAACCGGAGCUAAUAUCGGAUAAUAUUUUGAACCGCAUGGUUCAAAAGUGAAAGACGGUCUUGCUGUCACUUAUAGAUGGAUCCGCGCUGCAUUAGCUAGUUGGUAAGGUAACGGCUUACCAAGGCAACGAUGCAUAGCCGACCUGAGAGGGUGAUCGGCCACACUGGAACUGAGACACGGUCCAGACUCCUACGGGAGGCAGCAGUAGGGAAUCUUCCGCAAAGGGCGAAAGCCUGACGGAGCAACGCCGCGUGAGUGAUGAAGGUCUUCGGAUCGUAAAACUCUGUUAUUAGGGAAGAACAUAUGUGUAAGUAACUGUGCACAUCUUGACGGUACCUAAUCAGAAAGCCACGGCUAACUACGUG
rnacentral:rRNA from 1 species